rnacentral:rRNA from 1 species
GUAGGUGGCAAGCGUUGUCCGGAAUUAUUGGGCGUAAAGCGCGCGCAGGCGGUCCUUUAAGUCUGAUGUGAAAGCCCACGGCUCAACCGUGGAGGGUCAUUGGAAACUGGGGGACUUGAGUACAGAAGAGGAAAGCGGAAUUCCAAGUGUAGCGGUGAAAUGCGUAGAGAUUUGGAGGAACACCAGUGGCGAAGGCGGCUUUCUGGUCUGUAACUGACGCUGAGGCGCGAAAGCGUGGGGAGCAAACAGGAUUAGAUACCCUGGUAGUCCACGCCGUAAACGAUGAGUGCUAAGUGUUAAGGGGGUUUCCCGCCCCCCUUAGUGCUGCAGCUAACGCAUUAAGCACUCCGCCUGGGGAGUACGGCCGCAAGGCUG